rnacentral:tmRNA from 1 species
GGGGGUGUCCCGGUCUCGACAGGAUAUUUUCGCCUAUAGUUGCAGUGGUUUGGUAAACCUUAAUACUUCUAGGUUUGAUAAAAUGCAAACGAAAACAAAAAUGAAUUUGAAAUGCCAGCAUUCAUGAUCAAUAAUGCAUCAGCUGGAGUUGCAUUAGCAGCUUAAUAAGUAUUUAUUACUUAUAGCAUUCAACGUUAGUAAAUGUGUUUAUGCUUCAUUUAAUGACGUAUUACCUAGCAUAAUAGAUUAACUUAUUGUGAGAAGGUUAAUCGAAAUUACUUCACAAAAUCUAUAAACUAUUUUUGUAAGUUUUAUUUUUUAUAGAUUAAUCAAAACUUUCUAAACUGUAGACGCUAUGGGUUGGAGUAUUUUGGACGCGGGUUCGAUUCCCGCCAUCUCCACCA